GCCAAAGGCUGGGCAUCCCUCUGGCUGGAGAAGCUAGCUGUCCCCCAGGUUGCUGGUUUGGAGCAGAUUGUAAAUAGAAGGUGGUGGGAACUAACACUGAAAACAAAAAGCACUGGUGAUUUCACUCAGAAGAGGUCUCUGGCUGAUUUGUUGUGAUGGCAAGCGGACUCCUUGUUACAAGUCUUGAAAAGAGUGUGUAGAACACCCAGGGGAAUGUGCUUCUUCAAGUGCUGCCUGACAUCUAAAGUAUAAUUUUGAGACCCAAGAAUGGUUCCUUUUCCUCAUCGUUUGUCUUUCCAGCCAGUUCCUACAGAAUAACUUCUGUCAGCCAAGCUGCAUUUCAGUCUAGACAUAUCUGGAUCCAAGGCCCAUGAUCAUGAUGACAGGAAAGACAACUGGACAUGUACUAUGCUAUCCCAAUACUCCACAAAAUUACAAUGGCCCUCUGACUUCUUCAGAGCUUUUGUGUGCUUUUUUGUUUGCUUGUAGUUAGCAUAUCAUUUGCUAAAAUAAUUUUAUUGUCAAGAGGUUAUGUAAUAGAAUAUAUCUUGUGAGAAAGCUGCUUUAUCAAUUCGUAUGUCAAAUGUUAUUUUCAGCUUGAUAUUCAAUUGUAUAGAGUACAUAUGCAAUUAUAUUUUACAUUUUUAUUUAAAACUACAUAUUAAGCAUCUAUCCUCUCUCCUGGCAUAAAAUCAGAAAGGACGUGUCAAUAGAACUUUGCAUUUCUCAUCAAAGUAUAAUCAUGCUGCUGGACCAAGAAAUAAUUUCAGAGUCACAGUUCAUAGACGACAGUUCUAUUUGGAAUUGUAAGACACUGAAAUCUGUGCCAAACAUUUCAAUGUUACCAGUUCAGAGAGCAUAGUCUUUAUUACGUGUAAGAAUGAACCAUAAGAUAUAAUACCAGUGAGUGAUUUAAAAUAUUAUAACUAUGAAAUGCAUCACAGAAAAAUCCCUUACACGGAUGUGCUCACUAGUGCAAAUAGGUACAUUUAAUUUGUGUUUGAUUUCAAUGGGGUGCAUAGGAUAUAGAAAGUAAUUAUGGAUUUAAUAUUCUUGUUCUUGUAUUUCUUUACACUAAAAAACACUCCCAGUGCUUUAGCUGGGUCAUUUAGCUGUCAAGUACUUAAAGAUUAAUGACCACACAAGAUAAUUUAUUGUGCCCUUAUCAGCACUAAAUCUAUAUCUGUUAUUUCUCCCAGUCCUCAGCAUUUGAUCUUUAGCACAGCCAUUACAUGCAGUCUGGUUCUGAUUAUUUUACGGUGCAUCACCAGACUUGUUUUCCUUUGCCUGCACAGAAAAUAAAUAUGAACAAAAGUAUGUAUCUGAAGCCUUGUUUGAGCACAACAUGUUAAAAUUGUUGUAAAUAGUAAUUUCCUGAUAAUCCUGCUGGUCUAGACCAAGAAAAUUCAACAUAUUAGCAAUGCUUGAUGUUCUGUGUUUGUAGAUGUUGCAAAACUUGUAUUGGUACAUAUAUAUUUUCAUAAGAAGUCUUCCCCCCAAAAUGAAAUGACCCAAUCCACUCCUAAUCUGAGUCCUGAUUCCACCUUCUAUAUUCACAAUGAGUAUUAUCAGUGGUACUACUCCUAGACUAUGGUACCACUCAC